CAAUAGCGUAUACUAAAGUUGUUGCAGUUAAAAAGCUCGUAGUUGAAUUUCUGGUCUUGGACGGCGGUCUACCACAAUUGUGGUACGUACCAACUGUCCGAGUCCAUCCUCGGGGAAAACAUGCCUGUGAUUCAGUUCAUGGGUAUGGGAUCCUCGUCAUUUACUGUGAGCAAAAUAGAGUGUUUAAAGCAGGCUUAUGCCGUUGAAUAUAUUAGCAUGGAAUAAUAAGAUAGGACUUCGGAACUAUUUUGUUGGUUUGCGUUACGAAGUAAUGAUUAAUAGGGACAGUUGGGGGUAUUCGUAUUUCGUUGUCAGAGGUGAAAUUCUUGGAUUUAUGAAAGAUGAACUUCUGCGAAAGCAUUUGCCAAGGAUGUUUUCAUUAAUCAAGAACGAAAGUUAGGGGAUCGAAGACGAUCAGAUACCGU
rnacentral:rRNA from 1 species